rnacentral:RNase_P_RNA from 1 species
ACUGCAGGCCGCGCUAUCGAUCCCAAACUUUCAGGUUGGGGUAGGAAAGUCCGGACAGCACAGGGCAGCGCAUCCCGCUAACGGCGGGACAUUCCGGCGGCAGAGCCGGGAUCGAGACAGUGCCACAGAAAAUUGGAGCCUGAGCUCCGGGGGCAACCCCGAAGCGUGUGUCCGCCCGCCUUCGUCCGCCCACAGGCGUACUGCGGCGGGGAGACAGGGUAAUCGUGAAAAUGUGGGGUAAGAGCCCACGGCGUUGCAUCGGAAGGUGCUUCGCGGGUAAACCUUGCGCGCUGAAAUGCCAUGUAUAGGAACAACCUGAGGCGGCUCGCUUCAUUCUCCGCAAGGGGAAGUGUUCCAGGGUAGGCAGCUUGAGGCGGCCAGUAAUGGACGUCCCAGAUAAAUGAUAGCGCUCUGACCUGCCUGCGCCCCGGCAAAGGCAGACAGAGACAGAAUCCGGCUUACAGGCCUGCAGUAUUU